ACUUAGAUAGCUUAUAUAGAGCACAACACUGAAGAUGUUGGGGAAGUUGGUUAACUUUUAGGUA
rnacentral:tRNA from 1 species